UACGUAGGGGGCAAGCGUUGUCCGGAUUUAUUGGGCGUAAAGCGCGUGUAGGCGGCCACACAGGUCCGUUGUGAAAACUCGAGGCUUAACCUCGAGACGUCGAUGGAAACCGUAUGGCUAGAGUCCGGAAGAGGAGAGUGGAAUUCCUGGUGUAGCGGUGAAAUGCGCAGAUAUCAGGAAGAACACCCGUGGCGAAGGCGGCUCUCUGGGACGGUACUGACGCUGAGACGCGAAAGCGUGGGGAGCGAACAGG
rnacentral:rRNA from 1 species